rnacentral:tRNA from 1 species
UCCCUGGUGGUCUUGUGGUUAGGACUCGGCGCUUUUACUGCUACAGCCUAGGUUCAUGCCCUGGUCUGGGAA